CAUCCCAGGUGGCAGCCUUUGUUCCUGGCUCUAGGGAUACAGAAGGAAACUCAGAGGCAAGAAAAGUCCCGUGCACUUGGGAAGCUUACACAGAGAGGAGGAGAAGAAAAACAGUGAGAAAAAUCCCUGACAUCUUCCAUCUCACUCCAACUUAACAUAUCCCCCAGGGCAAAAGAGAAACCCCUCCUUCACUGACCCUUCCAGUAACUGUGCAGACAGUUACAGGAUGCGGUUCACAUGUGUGUUAACCUCGCAUAACAAAGCCGGCAAGAAACAUCUCCAGGGUGAGGUCAAGACAGCUGCACCCCUGACUCAGAUCCCCAACCCCGACCCAGUUCUCCUGCACCCCCGACUCAGCUCCGGCACCCCAACCUGGUUCUGGCCCUAUAAAACCCUACAGUCUGUAAGUCGGGCUGCCUCCUCUGGUUUUCUCAAGAGGUAGUCCCGCAGGACUGACAAUAAAUCAGCUUGCCUGAACUUGGCUU
rnacentral:lncRNA from 10 species